UGAGGAAUAUUGCUCAAUGGGCGAAGGCCUGAAGCAGCAACGCCGCGUGCGCGAUGAAGGUCUUCGGAUCGUAAAGCGCUUUUGAGAGGGACGAGAUAGGACGGUACCUCUUGAAUAAGUCACGGCUAACUACGUGCCAGCAGCCGCGGUAAAACGUAGGUGGCAAGCGUUAUCCGGAUUCACUGGGCGUAAAGCGCGUGCAGGUGGCUUCGUAAGUUGGACGUUAAAUCUUUCGGCCUAACCGGGAGGUGUCGUUCAAUACUGCGGGGCUUGAGGGUAGAAGAGGGGGGUGGAAUUGCCGGUGUAGUGGUGAAAUGCGUAGAUAUCGGCAGGAACACCUGUGGCGAAAGCGGCCCCCUGGUCUGCUCCUGACACUCAGACGCGAAAGCUAGGGGAGUGAACG
rnacentral:rRNA from 1 species